AUUGUUUCUUCGGAAACGAGAGAGCGGCGCACGGGUGCGGAACACGUGUGCAACCUGCCUUUAUCUGGGGGAUAGCCUUUCGAAAGGAAGAUUAAUACCCCAUAAUAUUUUGAAUGGCAUCAUUUAAAAUUGAAAACUCCGGUGGAUAGAGAUGGGCACGCGCAAGAUUAGAUAGUUGGUAGGGUAACGGCCUACCAAGUCAGUGAUCUUUAGGGGGCCUGAGAGGGUGAUCCCCCACACUGGUACUGAGACACGGACCAGACUCCUACGGGAGGCAGCAGUGAGGAAUAUUGGACAAUGGGUGAGAGCCUGAUCCAGCCAUCCCGCGUGAAGGACGACGGCCCUAUGGGUUGUAAACUUCUUUUGUACAGGGAUAAACCUUUCCACGUGUGGAAAGCUGAAGGUACUGUACGAAUAAGCACCGGCUAACUCCGUGCCAGCAGCCGCGGUAAUACGGAGGGUGCAAGCGUUAUCCGGAUUUAUUGGGUUUAAAGGGUCCGUAGGCGGAUCCGUAAGUCAGUGGUGAAAUCUCAUAGCUUAACUAUGAAACUGCCAUUGAUACUGCGGGUCUUGAGUAAGGUAGAAGUAGCUGGAAUAAGU
rnacentral:rRNA from 1 species